UCGGCGGCUGAACUGCCCGGGUUAGCAGGGAGCCGCUUCGGGAGCGACCCCGGGGGGAGCUGGAGAAACCGCUCCGCAGAGCCCCCUCUGUGCCCAGCCGGGUGGGGGCUCUGGAGCCAGCCCCAGGCUCUGCAGGGGGGCGACUGAGAGGGGAGGGGCGGCCGGAGCAAGGAAAGGGGAGGGAGGUUCCCAGCUCCCAGCCCUGCCCGGAUCCAUCGCUGCAGCGGCCCUGGGCAGACUGGCUCGCCUGGGCUCGAGGGAAAGACAAGAACUGACUCCGCUGUGCCCUGAACUAUUCUGAGUGUUGCCUCUUAGCUCCUGCGCAGAACUGAAAGUCGCAGAGGGAGUGGAAUCGGAGUGACUCUUGCCACAGCCGGAGAGGAGCGGAUCAGAGGUGCUCAGAGCAGCCUGUGCGCGUCAGCGGAGAGAUGGGGAAAACAGCAGAUUCAACUGAGCACAGUCCACAAGGACUUUGUAAUGGGGAACCUGAGGCAGGAAGGGAGAUGGAAACUCAAAAGAAUCCUCAGCAAGAACAGUUAUUAAUGGAGUUGCCAAGUAGGAAUGGAGAUGCAACAAGAGAACGAGACCCAGGUUGUGUCUGUCCCUUCAGGAAACCAUUAGUAUGGGGCACAGCUGCAGGUCUGGUCGUCGUCAUCAGUGGUUUGGGGGUAGCUCUGGCAGCAUGGCAGGCACUUGUGAUCUAACCCAGAAAAUGUUACUGGAGGGAGAGCGUAGCACUGGGAUGUGGUCUCCCUCCUUGAUGGGUGGAGAGAGAGCCAUGACCGCCCCCCCGCCCCCCUGGUGGGCAGAACCGGGAUACCUGCAGCCACCCCACCGGAAGCAGGGGGGGCGGGGCAGGAACAGGAACUAUAAAAGGCCAGCCCACUAGCUCAGUUGGGACAGAGCUGCCAAAGGAGCUGGAUGUCUCUCCCUUGCUGCUGGAGCCUGGACCUGAUGGAGGCUGCUCCCGUGCCAGAGACCGGCAAGGGCUGCCAGACACCAGGGACACGGAGGAGCUGUUGGAGCUACUGCUUGCCCUUUACCCGGGCAAGACCGAUACCAGCCCCAAAAUGCAGGUAUCUGGACUGGGAGUGUAGGAAGGAGCCCAGGGAAGGUGAAUAGGGUUUGGCUGUGUGUGGUGAACUGGGAAUGUUCUUAAUGUUUUCUCUGAAUACGGUGUUGGUGCCUCAGUGUCCCC